AUCAACUCUAAAUGACGUCACCUGAUUGAUGUGAUCAGCCGCAGCUGGGAUGUGAUGAGGACGCUAACAGAUAAAACCACGAAAGACUCAACCACAGAGAGACCCACAAACCUUGGAGAACGAUCACAGCUUUUAAAACUUAACCCAACCAAACAAAAAGAAAAACUUGAACUCACCGAAGAAGCUUGGGCUCGCCACUCAUCGCCACGCCGGCCAGUGUACUCUGUGCAGGUUAUGAUACCGAAAACAACUGCAUAUUAAAUUGAAGUGGACCCAAACCCAAAGACUUCAACGAUCUGCCUGACGCAGAAGUGACCUUUAGAGACUUUUCCAUCCAGGACGGCGCCAUGUCCUCACAGCUCCUCAACAAAAGAAUGGCUUACCAUACUUCUCAUUUUUUCUCAAAGCAAGAAGUCUGUAGAAAAACGGUUAAGGAGAUGUCGACACAUCUUUGAUGUCUGACUUUGUUUGUGUCACAGCCGAGUGUUGAGGGCUGAUAAAUGUUACCUUACGUGA